rnacentral:rRNA from 1 species
UGGGGAAUAUUGCGCAAUGGGGGAAACCCUGACGCAGCAACGCCGCGUGAAGGAAGAAGGUUUUCGGAUUGUAAACUUCUUUUAAGAGGGACGAAGAAUGACGGUACCUCUUGAAUAAGCCACGGCUAACUACGUGCCAGCAGCCGCGGUAAUACGUAGGUGGCAAGCGUUGUCCGGAUUUACUGGGUGUAAAGGGCGAGUAGGCGGGAUAUCAAGUCAGAUGUGAAAUCUGGGGGCUCAACCCCCAAACUGCAUUUGAAACUGAUGUUCUUGAGUGAUGGAGAGGCAGGCGGAAUUCCCGGUGUAGCGGUGGAAUGCGUAGAUAUCGGGAGGAACACCAGUGGCGAAGGCGGCCUGCUGGACAUUAACUGACGCUGAGGAGCGAAAGCGUGGGGAGCAAACAGG